AAACAAAUGUCAUUCUUUCAUCUUGUUUUAAUUAAGUAAGUUGACGGGCGAAGUUAAGCUGGAUUAUUGAGCAGGUUUCCCAGUACGUUGUUAUGACUAAAUAAGUUCUUAAGUCAAUAAUAUUUUGUCUUGUAAAGCAUCUAUAGUGUACUGAUAUGUAGUUUAAAAUGUCUGUCGCCAUAUUGCGUCCAUGGUUUAUUCUUUCUUCGUUUUUCUUCGUUCUUACAAAUGGUGGAGAAGUUCAAACUAAAAAAGAAACAGGUAUAUACUUUGCAUAUGAAUGAAUUAACUAAAUAAAGAGCGAUUGUUUUGAAAAAGUCAAACAGCGUUUUAGUUUUAACAGGUUUAAUUUAACUUC